CAAACCCAGCCUUCCUCUCGAUCUCAUCUGGACAUCCAGCCCCGCCCCGCCCCUCACAGCCGGCCGCCGCCGCCUCCUACCCUGCCGCCGCGCCUACCCCUACACCAAGUGCCAACACACCCGCGCCCAUCCACUACCGGGGACCCGCGGCCUUCUACCGCCGGCGGCACUCGACGUCGCGACCAUUGGCGGCUCCCCGACCUUGCUACCAUGGCGCCGCCGGGACUCCUCCCCGCUGCUUCCACCUCGACAUUGGUUUCCCCAACCCCGCUGGCUUCGCCACCAGCCACUCCUUCUAGGCACACUCUAUCUGCCGACGGACCCAUCCGCCUGGUUCCAAUGGUGAACAUCGCCGCCACCCUAUUGUGAGGCGAGGUGAUGUUCUUCGAACUGCCGGCUUGAUUCUGCCUAGAGUGAGCUUUUCAACGGAAAUUAUACUUUGAUCCUAUCCAAUCUUACUGUGACAGUAAUAUAUUCCCCUUUCCUUUAUAUGAAAGGAAAAUUGCGGCUCUUUAUCAUGUUGUCAUUAUAUUGUAACCGUGUGCAAGUGUGUUCAGUUCAACUAGAUGUAACUCAUUGACAUAUGAGAUUCCAUUGGGCCUGAUAAUCUUGAAUUUUGCUUCACAAUUUAAAAUGUAGUAUUAGACCUAGAGUUUUUAUGUAUUACAGAACCUGUCCUAUAAAUAUGCCAGUUACAAAUAAAGGUGAUAUUGAUGUGGAAACGCAACACACAUGUAGUAGAUGAAUUGUAUGAAGUAAAUCGCCUUGGAAUGAUGGUUGCUGAAUGUUACGAUUAUAGUCAUCUACCUGGACGACCUUUAAGCACCAAUAGCUUAAUCCUUUUAGGUUUUGUUCUUCUUUCUUCAGUACAAACAUAAUAUUGUUUGGUGCUUCCCAAUACUUGGAUGUGAAAAAUAAAGCAGUUUUACAUUUUAAGAACUAAUAGAUUUUUAACAAGAAAAUAUGGUCCAAGUGGGACUACUACUUCUAAAUAUUUUGUCUUUCACAGAAGGGGAUAUCGUACUUCUCCUAAUCAGGAUUGUUGUGUAACUGAAUGAUGGUAGGAUGGUAAGUAACUACAUCCUUUUUUGGUAUGGCAAAGAAAAAAAAUACAUCUUACCCAUUAGAUGAGUUGCAUCUGCAGCUGAAUAAUAAUGGAAGAAAAAGGAGUACAUGCUUUACCUAAUGUACCUACAGCAACAAUGGGUUGCCCCACCAAACAUCACUAGAGGACUAGGAAGGAAAACGGUGAUUUCUCAAUCAGGUUCUAUUAGCCAUUCUAGCAUUAGCAUCAUGAAGAUUCUGGAACAGUGCACGACAUGCCCAAUCCCAAGGUCUUCCCUUAGCUGGUGAAGCACAUGAGCUGGUGUCAAGCAAUAUCCCCUGUAUACUUUGUCCUUGUGUUCUUUCCAAGUAUGAAUCCAUAUCAGCUGCAUCACGGAGCUCCAUGCACAGUGGUACUACUUCCGAACGUGUAGAACAUGCAAUUGUAUGUAAAUCGCCUUGAAAUGAUGGUUGCUGAAUACUGCAUUAUGCUUGAUAGUCAUCUACCUGGACGACUUCAAGCGCUAAUAGGUAAAUCCUUUUAGAUUUUGUAGUUCUUUUCAGUACAGAGAUAAUUCUGUUUCUUGCUUCCCAA